GAUGAACGCUGGCGGCGUGCCUAAUACAUGCAAGUCGAGCGAACGGACGAGAAGCUUGCUUUUCUGAUGUUAGCGGCGGACGGGUGAGUAACACGUGGAUAACCUACCUAUAAGACUGGGAUAACUUCGGGAAACCGGAGCUAAUACCGGAUCAUAUUUUGAACCGCAUGGUUCAAAAGUGAAAGACGGUCUUGCUGUCACUUCUAGAUGGAUCCGCGCUGCCUUAGCUAGUUGGUAAGGUAACGGCUUACCAAGGCAACGAUGCAUAGCCGACCUGAGAGGGUGAUCGGCCACACUGGAACUGAGACACGGUCCAGACUCCUACGGGAGGCAGCAGUAGGGAAUCUUCCGCAAUGGGCGAAAGCCUGACGGAGCAACGCCGCGUGAGUGAUGAAGGUCUUCGGAUCGUAAAACUCUGUUAUUAGGGAAGAACAGAUGUGUAAGUAACUGUGCACAUCUUGACGGUACCUAAUCAGAAAGCCACGGCUAACUACGUG
rnacentral:rRNA from 1 species